rfam:Triticum urartu cultivar G1812 contig263704, whole genome shotgun sequence.
UAUAUACUCCCUCCAUCCGGAAAUACUUGUCCUAAAAAUGGUUGUAUUUAGAUUUGUUUUAGUUAUAGAUACAUCAAUUUUAUUCAUAUUUAGGACAAGUAUUUCCGGAUGGAGGGAGUAACUU